rnacentral:misc_RNA from 1 species
GAAAUGCGAUAAGUAAUGUGAAUUGCAGAAUUCAGUGAAUCAUCGAAUCUUUGAACGCACCUUGCGCUCCUUGGUAUUCCUUGGAGCAUGCCUGUUUGAGUAUCAUGAAAUCUUCAAAGUAAAUCUUUUGUUAACUCAAUUGGUUUCUACUUUGGUAUUGGAGGUCUUUGCAGCUUCACACCUGCUCCUCUUUGUUCAUUAGCUGGAUCUCAGUGUUAUGCUUGGUUCCACUCGGCGUGAUAAGUUAUCUAUCGCUGAGGACACUGUAAAAGGUGGCCAAGGUAAAUGCAGAUGAACCGCUUCUAAUAGUCCAUUGACUUGGACAAUACUUUUAUGAUCUGAUCUCAAAUCAGCUAGGACUACCCGCUGAACUUAAGC